UUUGGUCCUGAGUUUUCAAAGACCGAACUGACCGAAAAACCGAAAACCGAGACCGAAUUUUUCGGUAAAACCGAAUGCCCACCCCUACCUGUAAGAUGCCACCUCCUUCCACGAUCGUCGUUGCUGAGGCGCCAGCCAAUGCGGCCACCCUGCGCGUGCGCCGGCCAGCCGGCUCUUCGCCCACUGCCCGCCCCUUCCCUGCGUCGUCAACCGCGUCCUACUCCUACUAUGCCGCCGGGCGUGCCGCGGUGGUUGGCCCCACUGCUGGCCUCCGCUCGAGGCCGUGAAGGCCGCGCUUAUCGGUCGUGGCCAUGGCCAGCGGUGAAAUCCAGGAGAAACACACAACUUGGAAUUGCAGAAUUUGAUGCUGUCAUAUGAAACUCUUAUAUGGAUUAUUAAUCAGGAUAUGUAAGAUAUUGAAGAUGGAAAUUGCUACCGCCUACAAGGUGCUCGAAAUCAUGACCUCUGGCAUUUAAAAUGUGUGAAAGACUGUGGUUCUAAACUUUAUUUUUGUUUUCCGUGUAACUACAUUGUUGUGUUUAUUCAUUGUGCCAUAGCUAGAAGCUAGACCGGAACAACUAUGGUAGUAUCAGGCUUUUUUUUUAUCUUAGUGAAUUCAUGAAAAUAUAUUUAUCUAUAGUUCUAUCCAGUUUUCGAUGAUCGUUCUUCAAGGGUUUUUUUUAGCAGAAGUGCCAUGGAAGCUAAUUUAGCUAAACUUGUUGCAUAAGUUAAUAACACCAUUGAAUCUUUCAUUUGCCAACCUUUUAUAGACCUGAAUUUUGGAAACUAAUUAGAAAGUAGACACGAGCUAUAAUGAGCGCGCCACUUGGCGUGCUAAUUUUCUAGUGUAUGUUGGAUGUAGCGUUUGUUCUGAUAUGUAGUUGAUUUCUAUUGCCUUCAUCUGAGGAAAAUUCGUUCAAGCUGAUGCCUGAUAUAUGAUGAGCUGUAGGUGCUUUGAGAUGAUUUUGUAUGCGCCUUGUUAGCUUUCCUCGUGACAAUGCUUUAGGCUGUGUUUAGUUCUAGGGGUGUAAAAUUUUGGCAAGUCACAUCAGAUAUAUG